rnacentral:rRNA from 1 species
AACGAACGCUGGCGGCAUGCCUAACACAUGCAAGUCGAACGAGACCUUCGUGUCUAGUUGCGCACGGGUGCGUAACGCGUGGGAACCUGCCCUUAGGUUCGGAAUAACUCCCCGAAAGGGGUGCUAAUACCGGAUAAUGUCUUCGGACCAAAGAUUUAUCGCCUUUGGAUGGGCCCGCGUUGGUUUAGCUAGUUGGUAGGGUAAAAGCCUACCAAGGCGUCGAUCCAUAGCUGGUCUGAGAGGAUGAUCCGCCACACUGGGACUGAGACACGGCCCAGACUCCUACGGGAGGGAGCAGUGGGGAAUACUGGACAAUGGGCGAAAGCCUGAUCCAGCAAUGCCGGGUGAGUGAUGAAGGCGUUAGGGUUGUAAAGCUCUUUUACACGGGAUGAUAAUGACGGUACCGGGAGAAUAAGCACCGGCUAACUCCGUG